rnacentral:rRNA from 1 species
CUACGGGGGGCUCCAGUGAGGAAUAUUGCACAAUGGGGGGAACCCUGAUGCAGCAACGCCGCGUGGAGGAUGACGCAUUUCGGUGUGUAAACUCCUUUUAUAUGUCAAGAAAAUGACGGUAGCAUAUGAAUAAGCACCGGCUAACUCCGUGCCAGCAGGCCGCGGUAAUACGGAGGGUGCAAGCGUUACUCGGAAUCACUGGGCGUAAAGGACGCGUAGGCGGGUUGGAAAGUCAGGUGUGAAAUCCUACAGCUUAACUGUAGAACUGCACUUGAAACUGCUAAUCUAGAGUAUGGGAGGGGGAGAUGGAAUUAGUGGUGUAGCGGUAAAAUCCGUAGAUAUCACUAGGAAUACCUAAAGCGAAGGCGAUCUCCUGGAACAUUACUGACGCUAAGGCGUGAAAGCGUGGGGAGCAAACAGGAUUAGAUACCCUUGUAGUC